GACGAACGCUGGCGGCGUGCCUAAUACAUGCAAGUUGAGCGCUGAAGGUUGGUACUUGUACCAACUGGAUGAGCAGCGAACGGGUGAGUAACGCGUGGGGAAUCUGCCUUUGAGCGGGGGACAACAUUUGGAAACGAAUGCUAAUACCGCAUAAAAACUUUAAACACAAGUUUUAAGUUUGAAAGAUGCAAUUGCAUCACUCAAAGAUGAUCCCGCGUUGUAUUAGCUAGUUGGUGAGGUAAAGGCUCGCCAAGGCGAUGAUACAUAGCCGACCUGAGAGGGUGAUCGGCCACAUUGGGACUGAGACACGGCCCAAACUCCUACGGGAGGCAGCAGUAGGGAAUCUUCGGCAAUGGACGAAAGUCUGACCGAGCAACGCCGCGUGAGUGAAGAAGGUUUUCGGAUCGUAAAACUCUGUUGGUAGAGAAGAGCGUUGGUGAGAGUGGAAAGCUCAUCAAGUGACGGUAACUACCCAGAAAGGGACGGCUAACUACGUG
rnacentral:rRNA from 1 species